GCCCCGGUAGCCCAACUGGCAGAGGCAGUCGACUUAAAAUCGACACAGUGCGGGUUCGAUCCCCGUCCGGGGCA
rnacentral:tRNA from 6 species